GCCACUAAACUGGAGAGUGUAGCUGCCAGGAAAGCACUGGUAAAGGAUAUUCGACAAUUGUCACCUCAACAUCAGACAUUCUCCCUGGAGGCCGACCAUUCCCUCAUUCUGCACUUUGCUCCCAAACACACUGGCUUUUCUUUUCUUGGGAUGUACAGCAGACUUCUUUUGGCAGCCCUACAUUUCAAUAGUAAUGGCAACAGAGAUGUAGCGCGAACUAGUGAGGGUGAGGGCCGCUACGCUGUUCGCUACCCACGGUUUCGGAAAGGUGGCUGGGUAGUCCACCCCAUCAAGGAGAAACCAUCUUACGGAUACGCAACAAAUCUUAUGGUCUCUCUGUUAGAGGAAUAC